rnacentral:rRNA from 1 species
UACGUAGGCAGCAAGCGUUGUUCGGAUUUACUGGGCGUAAAGAGUGCGUAGGUGGUGCCCUAAGUCUGUUGUGAAAUCUCCCGGCUUAACUGGGAGGGUGCGGUGGAAACUGGGGUGCUUGAGUGUGGGAGAGGUAAGCGGAAUUCCUGGUGUAGCGGUGAAAUGCGUAGAUAUCAGGAGGAACACCGGUGGCGAAGGCAGCUCGCUGGGACGUUACUGACGCUGAGACGCGAAAGCGUGGGGAGCAAACAGG